AGAGUUUGAUCCUGGCUCAGGACGAACGCUGGCGGCAUGCCUAAGAUAUGCAAGUCGAACGUCGAAUCUAGGUCUGAAGAAGCUUGCUUUUGAUGACCUAGUUGAAAGUGGCAAACGGGCGAGUAACACGUGGGUAACCUGCCUCAAACCUGGACAUAGCUUCGUGAAAGCGAAGGUAAUAUCCAAUAGCUAUUAAGGGGAAGUUCCUUAAUGGUAAAGGCUUUUAAACUUCGGUUUAAAGGUUGGUGUGAGAGAGGCCUGCGUCCUAUCAGCUAGUUGGUGAGGUAAUAGCUUACCAAGGCUAAGACGGGUAGAGGGUGUGAGAGCACGACCCUCCGCAGUGGUACUGAGACACGGACCACACUCCUACGGGAGGCAGCAAUCGGGAAUCUUGCGCAAUGGGGGAAACCCUGACGCAGCAAUGCCGCGUGAAGGACGAAGGCCUAAGGGUCGUAAACUUCUUUUAAUAGGGAGCAGGAAGGAUAGUACCUAUUGGAUAAGCACCUGCUAACUGCGUGCCAGAAGCAUCGGUGAUACGUAGGGUGCGAGCGUUGUCCGGAUUUAUUGGGCGUAAAGUGAUCGUAGGCGGUUGAAUAAGUCCUACUUCAAAGACCCAGGCUCAACCUGGGAAAGGGGCAGAAUACUAUUCGACUAGAGGGAGACAGAGGAAUGUGGAAUACUUGGUGUAGCGGUGGAAUGCAUUGAUAUCAAGUAGAACGCCAGAAGCGAAGGCAACAUUCUGGGUCUUUCCUGACGCUGAGGAUCGAAAGCUAGGGGAGCAAAACGGAUUAGAUA
rnacentral:rRNA from 1 species